rnacentral:rRNA from 1 species
AAUUCGAUUAGUUUGAUCAUGGCUCAGAACGAACGCUGGCGGCAUGCCUAACACAUGCAAGUCGAACGAGACCUUCGGGUCUAGUGGCGCACGGGUGCGUAACGCGUGGGAAUCUGCCCUUGGGUACGGAAUAACAGUGAGAAAUUACUGCUAAUACCGUAUGAUGUCUUCGGACCAAAGAUUUAUCGCCCAGGGAUGAGCCCGCGUUGGAUUAGCUAGUUGGUGGGGUAAAGGCCUACCAAGGCGACGAUCCAUAGCUGGUCUGAGAGGAUGAUCAGCCACACUGGGACUGAGACACGGCCCAGACUCCUACGGGAGGCAGCAGUGGGGAAUAUUGGACAAUGGGCGAAAGCCUGAUCCAGCAAUGCCGCGUGAGUGAAGAAGGCCUUCGGGUUGUAAAGCUCUUUUACCCGGGAAGAUAAUGACUGUACCGGGAGAAUAAGCCCCGGCUAACUCCGUGCCAGCAGCCGCGGUAAUACGGAGGGGGCUAGCGUUGUUCGGAAUUACUGGGCGUAAAGCGUACGUAGGCGGCUUUUUAAGUCAGAGGUGAAAUCCCGGUGCUCAACACCGGAACUGCCUUUGAGACUGGAUCGCUUGAUCACGGGAGAGGUUAGUGGAAUUCCGAGUGUAGAGGUGAAAUUCGUAGAUAUUCGGAAGAACACCAGUGGCGAAGGCGGCUAACUGGACCGUUGAUGACGCUGAGG